CACGUAGGGUGCGAGCGUUGUCCGGAAUGAUUGGGCGUAAAGAGCUCGUAGGCGGUUUGUCGCGUCGAAUGUGAAAACCCGGGGCUCAACCCCGGGCCUGCAUUCGAUACGGGCAGACUAGAGUUCGGUAGGGGAGUCUGGAAUUCCUGGUGUAGCGGUGAAAUGCGCAGAUAUCAGGAGGAACACCGGUGGCGAAGGCGGGACUCUGGGCCGAUACUGACGCUGAGGAGCGAAAGCGUGGGGAGCAAACAGG
rnacentral:rRNA from 1 species